AACACAUGCAAGUCGAACGAGAAAAUUCUCUUCGGAGAGUGAGUACAGUGGCGAACGGGUGAGUAACACGUGGGUUACCUGCCCUUGAGUGGGGAAUAACUCUGGGAAACCGGAGCUAAUACCGCAUACGACCCUACGGGGUGAAAGCUUUAUGCGCUCGAGGAUGGGCCCGCGGCCGAUUAGUUUGUUGGUGGGGUAACGGCCUACCAAGGCAACGAUCGGUAGCCGGCCUGAGAGGGCACACGGCCACACUGGCACUGAGACACGGGCCAGACUCCUACGGGAGGCAGCAGUGGGGAAUCUUGGACAAUGGGGGCAACCCUGAUCCAGCGACGCCGCGUGAUCGACGAAGGCCUUCGGGUCGUAAAGAUCUUUCAGCGGGGACUAUCGUGAAGGUACCCGCAGAAGCAGGAGCGGCUAACUACGUGCCAGCAGCCGCGGUAAUACGUAGGCUCCAAGCGUUGUUCGGAAUUACUGGGCGUAAAGCGAGUGUAGGCGGUUCGUUAGGUCGAUUGUGAAAUCU
rnacentral:rRNA from 1 species